rnacentral:rRNA from 1 species
AUUGAACGCUGGCGGCAUGGCUAAAACAUGCAAGUCGAACGCGUGUAGCAAUACAUGAGUGGCGAAAGGGCGAGGAAUGCAUUUCUACGUGCCUCGAGGCCGGGGAUAGCUUGGGGAAACCCAAAGUAAUACCCGAUGAUCUCUACGGAGCAAAGGUUUACCACCUUGAGAGCGGGGAAUGUCCUAUCAGCUAGUUGGUGAGGUAUUGGCUCACCAAGGCUUAGACGGGUAGCGGGUGUGAGAGCACGAUCCGCCGCAUCGGAACUGAGACACUGUCCGGACUCCUACGGGAGGCUGCAGUAACGAAUCUUCCACAAUGCACGAAAGUGUGAUGGGGCAAUGCCGCGUGUGGGAUGACGCUUUUCGGAGUGUAAACCACUGUCAGGGUACAGGAACACAAUGACCAUACCCAAAGGAAGAGACGGCUAACUCUGUGCCAGCAGCCGCGGUAAUACAGAGGUCUCGAGCGUUAAUCGGAAUCACUGGGCUUAAAGGGUUCGUAGGUGGAAUUGUAGGCGUCGAGUGAAAUACCACGGCUCAACCGUGGAACUGCUCGGCGAACCACAAUUCUUGAGGUGAGUAGAGGCAGCCAGAACGAUAGGUGGAGCGGUGAAAUGCGUAGAUAUCUAUCGGAAUGCCAAAGGUGAAGACAGGCUGCUGGGCUCAUCCUGACACUGAGGAACGAAAGCGUGGGGAGCAAACGGGAUUAGAUACCCCGGUAGUCCACGCCGUAAACGAUGCGCACUGGGUCGCGGGGGUUUGACGCCCUCGUGGCCGAAGCAAAAGUGUUAAGUGCGCCGCCUGGGGAGUACGGUCGCAAGGCUAAAACUCAAAGGAAUUGACGGGGGCUCACACAAGCGGUGGAGCAUGUGGCUUAAUUCGAAGCAACGCGAAGAACCUUAUCCUAGGCUUGACAUCCAUGAAUUAGUCCCAUGAAAGUGGGAGGACAGUCGCAAGACCGGAACAUGGACAGGUGCUGCAUGGCUGUCGUCAGCUCGUGCUGUGAAGUGUCGGGUUAAGU